AGCGAACGCUGGCGGCAGGCCUAACACAUGCAAGUCGAACGGAUCCUUCGGGAUUAGUGGCGGACGGGUGAGUAACACAUGGGAACGUGCCCUUUGGUUCGGAACAACUCAGGGAAACUUGAGCUAAUACCGGAUGUGCCCUUCGGGGGAAAGAUUUAUCGCCAUUGGAGCGGCCCGCGUCUGAUUAGCUAGUUGGUGAGGUAACGGCCCACCAAGGCGACGAUCAGUAGCUGGUCUGAGAGGAUGAUCAGCCACACUGGGACUGAGACACGGCCCAGACUCCUACGGGAGGCAGCAGUGGGGAAUCUUGCGCAAUGGGCGAAAGCCUGACGCAGCCAUGCCGCGUGAAUGAUGAAGGUCUUAGGAUUGUAAAAUUCUUUCAGCGGGGACGAUAAUGACGGUACCCGCAGAAGAAGCUCCGGCUAACUUCGUG
rnacentral:rRNA from 1 species